UUGGGGUACCUUAAAAUAAAGGUUUGUUUUGAUGUAACAACAAUAGAAUAAUUUUCUUUCCAAA
rnacentral:tRNA from 1 species